AGAGCAAGAAAAGUGUGUAUCGAUGUUGUGCAAGUUUCUCAUUGCACUCUGUUCGAAAGAGUUUACUACAAAAUUGAUUCGGGGAAGAUGGGCAGUUGUGCUUCAUAUCCAUCUUUGAUUCUUUUCCACAAUCAUCUUCCCCAUAUAC